AAAGGACACACUCACCCAGCUGUGAUAGGGAGAGCUGCAGCAGAAGGGACACACCCACCCAGCUGUGAUAGGGAGAGCUGCAGCAGAAGGGACACACCCACCCAGCUGUGAUAGGGGAAGAGCUGCAGCAGAAAGGACCCCCCCAGCUGUGAUAAGGAAAGAGCUGCAGCAAAAAGGACACAUCCUCAGCUGCGAUAGGGAGAGAGCUGCAGCAGAAAGGACACAUACUGAGCUGUGAUAGGGAGAAGGCUGCAACAGAAAGAACACAUAACCUGAGCUGUAAUAGAAGAGAGCUGCAGCAGGAAGGACACAUACUCUGAGAUGCAAUAGGGAGAAAGCUGCAGCAGAAAGGACACGCCCCCCCCCCCCCCCGAUCUGUGAUAUAGAGAGACCUGCAGCAGACAGGAUGCUCCCCCUGAGUAAGGACACACCCAUUAAUAAAUACACCGUGAUGGGAACAGAGCAAAACGCAUUAAAAUAUGUCCCUAACGCUUCUUAAAUUGCAGCAUUUCCUACUACGCAGCUAACAAUGCGGCACUUUUCCGGCGCAGAGCCGUUCAUACAUUACCCCCUAUAAACUGGAUAUCUGUCCUCAGAUAUUUUUUCUUCUUGUCACAUUUGGUUCAUGAAUAAUUCUAACACUUAAGUACGGCACAUUGAGACAACUGUUGGCGCGUUUCGAGCCAAAUUCUAGGCAGAAUCAUGUUAGUAAAUGCAGGCAGAAAAACUGGUAAAUAUUCUGGUAAGUUCAUUUAGCAGAAGUUGAGGUGACGUAUUGUGACCGCUUUGCGCGUCGUCUCUCCCGCAUCCUACUCCCCAAUGUGUCGGGUCUAUUGUACGUAUUUAUGACCGCAGUGAGGAUCUCUCGGCGCGCUGAUUUCUUAGCUGAGUCCUCGCUCCAGUCCUCUUGUUUGUAUGGCGUUGCUUUUUGUUCGCCUCACAUCUGUGUUUUGUCGCCGUCUCCCCCCUCCCGGCGGUGUCGUAUAUCCAGUCUGCCUCUUGCUGCAUCACCAUUUCCUGCGGUGUGAGGUCAGAAUCCUCGCAGGUUGAUAAUUUGCGCCAGAUGUUAUACCCGUCAGGAGAAAUUAAGUCUGGCGCCCGGAAAGAGGCAGGGAGCGCGGUGUGAGGGGCAGUCACCCCCUGUGUUGUAUGUGUAUAUAUAGCAUUAUGGUGGGAUGUAACCUGCGGGCUCUGCCAUGACAUGCCGCACAGCCGUCCUCUCCCCAGAGAUGGAUCCAGUUUCUGGUAACGGUCCCUUAACCCCUUCAGCUCGAGGUAGUUACUCGGGAUGGCGGCGCAUUAUAAGGGGCAGAGGAGGCGCAGAAAUGGUUAAUGUAACAAAUCACUCAUUUCCUCUGCUGGAUUCCUGGCUGAUUACUGAGCCCCAGCUCUUGUUUUUCUUUUCUUUUUUUGCUUGAAAAGGAAAAAAAAUUCUUGUUCCCAGAUGUGAGACGAGAAACAGGAUCUUUAGAGAAGGGGAAUACUUAUAGCGAGAAUGUAGGUCCAGCAGCUGCUUCAUGUGCAUUACACAGGCACACGCUCGUAGUGUGUUCUGUGCCAGGUAUGGAGAUCUAUGUAUCUCAGAGCGUAUGUUAUGUAUUGUCUGACCUCCCACCACUAUUCCCAGCGACGUCUCCACAACCACUACCCCAGGAGACUCGCCUGUAGGUCAGAUACUGAGAUUCUUUUGUAUGUGACUCCAGGUAGCAGCUUAGAUAUUGCAUUGCAUUAGAUAUCGUUUGGAUUCAGCCGAGCAUCUAAUGUGUAUGGGGCUCCCCCGGUCAUGGACGCCAGUGACCAAAUCGGUCACUGCCCGAUCCUUUUGCUCUUAGGAGAUAAGUGGUGUCUGGCAGCAGCUUCUCUCCCGUCCCCAUUCCCUACAUAUGCAUGCUCAUCAAAGCCAAGCAUGCAUAUGUAUGGGAGGAUCAGGAGAAGUAGCUGUCUGCUAAGCGUUUGGCCCACACUAUAGAUUUGUAUAACGUCAAGCUUAGAUACAGCCGCUCAGAAGACAGUAUCACACAUGAGUGGUUUAGACACAGCACUGUAUAACACAUGAGAGGCGCACACUUUUGAUAGCAUGCUGCUCACUAGGACAGCCUUUUCAGCUGACUUCCCCCAGCUCGGCCGAGCAUGCAUGUGUUCUCAAUAGGGAGAAUGGAGUAAGCUGCUGACAGACUCUUCUGGUGGUGGAAGAAGGAUCAGGCAGGUUGAAUCCUCACUCUUUGAUCCUUAUCCCACUAAUCUGCCGUCCGUUGUACAUGGUUCGGUUUGGCCAACGUGCAUCUAAUGGAUAUAGCCAGCUGGUCACACAUGAUAGGCUUAGAUACAGCGGCUGCUCAGUAGACAGUAUCACACAUGAUGGGCUUAGAUACGGCAGCUCAGUAGACAGUAUUACACACCAGGAGCUUGGAUACAGCAGCCAAUUUAUUUACACAUGUUUUUGGUUGGCACAACUGGGAAGGCUGGAGCCAGGACGCAACACGGGCUGUCAGAUCGCUCACUCUCCUGGUGUGACCUACGGCUUGUUCGAGUCGACGGUCUGUAGAAGAAAAGGCAUGGGUCGCACACCACCCGCCAUUCAUCUACUGCUUCUUUUAUAAAUAGCUCCAUGGAAGCACUUCAUAUAAGUUUUGAUGAAAAUGCAUAGGCCCAGUCACCACGUCAAGGUGGACCUUUUUGAAUGGGUCCCUACUCUCAUUUGCAGCCGCACCUGUAGGCUUGACAUGGCCUAUGCAUUUUUAUCAAAUCGUAUACGAAGUGCGUCAUAGGACAAGUAAGUUUAAUAUAGACCCGUGGCUUUUUACCUACAGAGUGACAUACCUGUUAGAGUUGACCUUAGUGAUGACAGUGCAGCAAAGUGUGAGCGCCACCUAUAGAUGUGCACAGGGUACUGCACAGAAUGGAUUUGCAGUGUUUGUAAGAUCACAUAACACGAUCCCAAAUCCUAUAGACAAAUAACUAUCUCCACUAAAUACGCUUAAAAAUAAUAAUAAUAA